rnacentral:rRNA from 1 species
GGACCCGCACAAGCGGUGGAGCAUGUGGUUUAAUUCGAAGCAACGCGAAGAACCUUACCAAAUCUUGACAUCCCUCUGACGGGUCCGUAACGGGACCGUUCCUUCGGGACAGAGGAGACAGGUGGUGCAUGGUUGUCGUCAGCUCGUGUCGUGAGAUGUUGGGUUAAGUCCCGCAACGAGCGCAACCCUUAUCCCCAGUAGCCAGCAGGUAAAGCUGGGCACUCUGAGGAGACUGCCAGGGAGAACCUGGAGGAAGGCGGGGAUGACGUCAAAUCAUCAUGCCCCUUAUGAUUUGGGCUACACACGUGCUACAAUGGCGUGAACAGAGGGAAGCAGAGCCGCGAGGCCGAGCGAAUCUCAAAAAACGCGUCCCAGUUCGGACUGUAGUCUGCAACCCGACUACACGAAGCUGGAAUCGCUAGUAAUCGCAGAUCAGAAUGCUGCGGUGAAUACGUUCCCGGGUCUU